GGAGGAGGAGGAGGAGGAGGACAAUAAAGAUGACCACUAUGAAUAUGAGAAGAAAGGAGAAGAUGAGGUUGAGGAUCAGGGGAAGAAGAUCAUCCUGCAUGCUAUUGAGGGCAACGGAAGCCAUGGAUGAAGAUAGGAUCAAUUAAUCAGUUCUUUGUGGAUUUGAGAUCAUCUAACAUUCUUUAUCAUGUGGAAAGUUAUCAUCAGUGAUCCUAUUCUAAUAUUCUUCAUCCAAAUAUAUUUACUUAAAACUUCCCCUACUGUUUAUGCAUCCUUUAAAUUAAAAAUAAAAAUUAUUUGAAAUGA